GACCCUCCGAGGGCGUUAGCUGCCUUUUGAACUCCCAGGGAGGAUGGAUCCCGGGACGGAUUCAACGCCGCUUGCCGCCCUGGUUUGGUCGUCCGCCUCGGCGCCGCCGCCGCCGGGUUUCAGCGCGAUCACCUGUACCGUGGAGGGCGCGACGGCCAGCUUCGGCCGAGGCUUCGCGCAGAAGGCCGGCUACUUCCUGUGCCUGAGCACACUGGGUAUCCCAGAGAACCCUCAGGACAAUGUGGUAGUGGACAUGCAGAUCGUGAUGGACAAGGGGCCCCUGCCACCAGGCUUCUCUACAGUCAACGACCCUCAGGAUGCCAGUAAGAUCCGCGGGCACGGGAGAGUGACAAACACAGGGAAGGGCGGGCUGGUAUCUGUCUGGAAUUGGACCUAGCUGGGCAGGGAGGUACAACCUGUAAAUGCAAGCUGAAGCAGAAAGAUGGUGGGGAGUUCAGGGCCAGCCUGGGCUACAGAGUGAGGCCUUGUCUCAACCACUACUCCAAAAUUAAAUAGUUGAUACAUACCUGUCUUAGUACUCAGGCUGAGGCAGGAGGAUGGCUCUGAUUUAGUGUCCAGCCUGGGCUACAGAAUGAGACCUUGCCUCGGCUUUUCCUAAGAAUUAAGCUUAGUGGGACACACCUGUCACUAGCCUGGGCUACAUGAAAUCCUGCCCCUAAACAAACAACAACCCCAGAUGUCUCUGGCAUACCCACCCGUCUUC
rnacentral:lncRNA from 1 species